rnacentral:rRNA from 1 species
AAGGCAACGCCUGCCCAGUGAAUAAUUAAACGGCCGCGGUAUCCUAACCGUGCAAAGGUAGCAUAAUCAUUUGUCUAUUAAUUGUAGACUCGUAUGAAUGGCAAAAUGAGAGCCCGACUGUCUCUUAUAACAAAUCAAUUAAACUGAUCUCUCAGUACAAAAGCUGAGAUUCUCACAUAAGACCAGAAGACCCUGUGAAGCUUUAACUAAACUAUUAAACCUCUUAAUAACUAUGUUUUGGUUGGGGCGACCUUGGAACAAAAAAGAACUUCCAAAUACAUGACCUUCUCACACCAAGGCAAACAAGCCACAUUUAGACCCAGAACUUUCUGAUAAAUGAACCAAGUUACUCCAGGGAUAACAGCGCUAUCUUCUUCAAGAGCCCAUAUCAAAAAGAAGGUUUACGACCUCGAUGUUGGAUCAGGACAUCCUAGCAAUGCAACCGUUACUAAGGGUUCGUUUGUUCAACGAUUAAUAGUCCUACGUGAUCUGAG